UACUUUUGCACCCGUUACAUAAUAAUCAUUUAAAAUAAUAUUGGAAUG
rfam:Chryseobacterium solincola strain DSM 22468 contig04, whole genome shotgun sequence.